AGAGUUUGAUUAUGGCUCAGAACGAACGCUGGCGGCAGGCCUAACACAUGCAAGUCGAACGAUAUAGUGGCAGACGGGUGAGUAACGCGUGGGAACGUACCUUUCACUACGGAAUAGCUCUGGGAAACUGGUGGUAAUACCGUAUACGCCCUUAGGGGGAAAGAUUUAUCGGUGAAAGAUCGGCCCGCGUUGGAUUAGCUAGUUGGUGAGGUAAUGGCUCACAAAGGCGACGAUCCAUAGCUGGUCUGAGAGGAUGAUCAGCCACACUGGGACUGAGACACGGCCCAGACUCCUACGGGAGGCAGCAGUGGGGAAUCUUGCACAAUGGGCGAAAGCCUGAUGCAGCCAUGCCGCGUGAAUGAUGAAGGCCUUAGGGUUGUAAAAUUCUUUCGUCAGGGAUGAUAAUGACCGUACCUGAAGAAGAAGCCCCGGCUAACUUCGUGCCAGCAGCCGCGGUAAUACGAAGGGGGCUAGCGUUGUUCGGAAUUACUGGGCGUAAAGCGCACGUAGACGGACUUUUAAGUCAGGUGUGAAAUCCCGGGGCUCAACCUCGGAACUGCAUUUGAAACUGGAAGUCUGGAGAUCAGGAGAGGUUAGCGGAAUACCGAGUGUAGAGGUGAAAUUCGUAGAUAUUCGGUGGAACACCAGUGGCGAAGGCGGCUAACUGGACUGAUACUGACGCUGAGGUGCGAAAGUGUGGGGGAGCAAACAGGAUUAGAUACCCUGGUAGUC
rnacentral:rRNA from 1 species